rnacentral:rRNA from 1 species
AUUGAACGCUGGCGGCAGGCUUAACACAUGCAAGUCGAGCGGGGUGAUGGUGCUUGCACUAUCACUUAGCGGCGGACGGGUGAGUAAUGCUUAGGAAUCUGCCUAUUAGUGGGGGGCAACAUCUCGAAAGGGAUGCUAAUACCGCAUACGUCCUACGGGAGAAAGCAGGGGAUCACUUGUGACCUUGCGCUAAUAGAUGAGCCUAAGUCGGAUUAGCUAGUUGGUGGGGUAAAGGCCUACCAAGGCGACGAUCUGUAGCGGGUCUGAGAGGAUGAUCCGCAACACUGGGACGGAGACACGGCCCAGACUCCUACGGGAGGCAGCAGUGGGGAAUAUUGGACAAUGGGGGUAACCCUGAUCCAGCGAUGCCGCGUGUGUGAAGAAGGCCUUAUGGUUGUAAAGCACUUUAAGCGAGGAGGAGGCUCUUUUGGUUAAUACCCAAGAUGAGUGGACGUUACUCGCAGAAUAAGCACCGGCUAACUCUGUGCCAGCAGCCGCCGUAA